AGUGAACGCUGGCGGCAGGCCUAACACAUGCAAGUCGAGCGGCAGCGCGUCCGACCACCCUCGGGUGGUCGGAUGGCGGCGAGCGGCGGACGGGUGAGGAAUGCAUCGGAAUCUGCCUCGUUGUGGGGGAUAACGUAGGGAAACUUACGCUAAUACCGCAUACGACCUACGGGUGAAAGUGGGGGACCUUCGGGCCUCACGCGAUGAGAUGAGCCGAUGCCGGAUUAGCUAGUUGGCGGGGUAAAGGCCCACCAAGGCGACGAUCCGUAGCUGGUCUGAGAGGAUGAUCAGCCACACUGGAACUGAGACACGGUCCAGACUCCUACGGGAGGCAGCAGUGGGGAAUAUUGGACAAUGGGGGCAACCCUGAUCCAGCCAUGCCGCGUGUGUGAAGAAGGCCUCGGUUGU
rnacentral:rRNA from 1 species